GCAAUAAAAGCUUGUCAAGGCAAGGUUCAGGGCACUCUCCUCUUGAGAGAGUGGCCCUGCCAUCCCUUUUCCUCCACAGGACUCGAUAGUCCAUGUGAAUCUGUCUUGUCUCAGCGACAACACCGCAGACACUGCUCGCCAAUGACCACAUCAUUUGACAAAAUA